UGCGUAGGGGGCAAGCGUUGUCCGGAUUUAUUGGGCGUAAAGGGCGCGCAGGCGGCGCUUCAAGUCCGUUGUGAAAUUUCAGGGCUUAACCCUGACGGGUCAACGGAAACUGAAGGGCUAGAGUGCAGCAGAGGAAAGCGGAAUUCCCGGUGUAGUGGUGAAAUGCGUAGAUAUCGGGAGGAACACCAGAGGCGAAAGCGGCUUUCUGGGCUGUAACUGACGCUGAGGCGCGAAGGCUAGGGGAGCAAACAGG
rnacentral:rRNA from 1 species